ACACACACACACACACACAAACAAAGAGGCGUUAGGCUGAGACGCUGAAAGUCCGGAUUUAAAGUGCAGAAAAUUAAGCCAUUGAAUCUGCCUGUCCAUGACGUACAAAGACACACUAUGAGCCAGUAUGAUCCGACCAGACCUUACAUCAGCAUUGAGGAGUUGUCGGAGAAGAAAGAGGCUGAUUGAAGCGGGACAGAUGACAUGGAUCCAUCCUUCCACAGCCAGGAGUGCACCGACCUGUGUCCCACACUUCAUAUAAGACUGGAAGCUACACUGGAUCUCACAGCUACACACCACAGACGUCUACACACUGGAGAAGAGUCCCACAAAGAAGUCAUGACCCAGAGGCUGCAGAGAAACAUUUCAAGCCUCAUCUGAGUUUUUGUACAAUAUUUUUGCUGUAUGUAAAUAAAGCUUUCACUCCACAUA